CAAAGAAUAGUUUAAGAAAAAAUAUUAAUUUUGGAGAUUAACGAUGAGUUUUACUUUUCUUUGA
rnacentral:tRNA from 1 species